GCAGAUGUAGCAGUAGCUGCGGUAACUGGAAUUGUCACUGGCUUGUGUGUGGGCCCAAUAAUACCAAUUUGUGGUCGUUGGCUAGCCAAAGCUUCGAUCUUGAAAUUCCUGCUACAUUUCACUGUGGUUAUGUUAUUCCUGCUGCAUUUCACUGUGGUUAUGUUGGCGGUAUCAUCACAGCUCUUUCCUUAUAGCAAAGAUGCACCGAAGAGAGUUAUACUGCAACACACAUUCUUCUCUGCGGGUAGCCCUUUACUCACCC
rnacentral:lncRNA from 1 species